AUUGUAAGAUAUUUAAAGCGUACAUUUUGAUGAUCUGAUAUACAUACAUAUUGUGAAAGGAUUCUUCCCAGUUAGUUAAUUAACUCAUCCAUCACUCCAUCACCUCACAUAUUUAUCUUUUUUUUUGGGUGAGAACAUUUAAGUUCUAUUCUCUUAGCAAAUUUCAUUCAUACAAUACAAUGUUACCAACUACAGUCACCCUGUUUUCCUUUGGAUCCUCAGACCUUGUUCAUCUUGUAGCUGAAAGUUCACAGGCUUUUUGUGAUGGUUAAACCCAAUACUCCACGUGAAUGUGUUCAUUUAGCGCAGAGUGUUUGUUCAAAGCAAAAAAUAAAUGAAAACUUCAAGUGGGUUCAGAAUGGCUGGUGUGGGGAGAGGUAAGGUCUGUGAGGUCACGAAGGAGCACUGACACCACUAUUUGCCAACCACGGGAUGGAAGGUUCUGGAGGCCACAGCCCACUCUGGGCUGUCGUGUAGAAACCUUGCUUCCCUUGGGUGCCCACCCCUUCCCACAUCCCCACCUGCUCUUUCCCUGGAAAGGAGGAAGUGGGUGAAGCGUUGUGGCUUCUUCCUUCCUUCCCCUCUACUGGGAGUGAGCCAGGUAUGGUCAGGGAAGCUGAGCGAAGAGAAGUUGACUGAAGGCUCUUUAUGUCUUUGUUCUUUUUUGAGUCACCAAAAUGGCAUACUUCUUGUUUUGUUUAAAGAUGUUGUCAGAUCUCGAAAGAAGUACACAGGCAUAUUGGGUAAACGAUCCAGUGUAAUCUGGCUUCUAAAAUGAUCUUUGCUGCAUUCUGAAAGAUUUUCUUGGUUCUGGAUUAGAUCGAUGGAACCUGAGUUCGAGCCCUGGUCAACUCUGCCAUUUCCUGUCCAGACUGAUCCCUGGGACCAAGUAUUGGAGAAAAAGGCAAGUCUGCAGUUUACUAAAGCUGUGGACAUCACUUAACAGUUCCGAGGCAGCAGUUCUGAUCAGCAGGAUGGCUCUAAUCUGCAUGAUUUUCCUGGGACCCAAGUUCCUUCCAUCAUGAUGCUUUGCCAUGUUAGGCCACUAACCCUGUAUGCACAGUCAAGGAUUCCAGCCAGUGAGAAAGGGAAAGGACACAGAGGAGCCACGCCCAGGCUCAAGGUCUGGGCACAGAUCACUUCCACUUGAGUCCAUUGGCAAGAACUGAAAUGUCAUAACACCUAACCGCAAGGGAGGCAGGGGACGUGUAGCUCAGCCACGCACCCGGAAAGAAGGAGAGAACGGGUCUGCAGGAGAGCUCAUGGCGUCCAGGGACCCUCCAAGCAAGAGGCAAACCCACCUGGGCAUCUGUCUGCGCACAGUGAGCUGCCAACUAAAUAUGCCUGGGCUAGACUGUUGGAUGAUGAGAGACGCAUGGACCCACCAUCUCCCCAGAUGCCAGCCAGCCAGCUCCCAAAGUAGAGCCCCCUGCUGCCUUGGCAGCUGACUGUGGACGCAUGAGCAAGCCCAGCCAGGACCAGCAGAAUUGCUCAGCUGAUCCCAGUCUAAAUUGCUACCUUAUGGAUUGUGAGCUACAAAUAAACGGUGGUUGUUUUAAGCCGUUAAGUUUUGGGGUAGUUUGUUUCACAACAAAAGCGGAGCGUUACGGGAAGUAACCCAGAGAUUAGCAACAGCAGGGAGUCACUGCUAUGUUAGGCUGUAGAGACAA